ACGAUGAAGAGUUUGAUCCUGGCUCAGGAUGAACGCUAGCGGCAGGCUUAACACAUGCAAGUCGAGGGGUAGAAUAG
rnacentral:rRNA from 1 species